CGAACCCUACGGGGCGCAGCAGUGGGGAAUAUUGCACAAUGGGGGAAACCCUGAUGCAGCGACGCCGCGUGAAGGAAGAAGUAUUUCGGUAUGUAAACUUCUAUCAGCAGGGAAGAAAAUGACGGUACCUGACUAAGAAGCCCCGGCUAACUGCGUGCCAGCAGCCGCGGUAAUACGUAGGGGGCAAGCGUUAUCCGGAUUUACUGGGUGUAAAGGGAGCGUAGGCGGUUCAGUAAGUCAGAAGUGAAAGCCCGGGGCUCAACUCCGGGACUGCUUUUGAAACUGUUGAACUAGAUUGCAGGAGG
rnacentral:rRNA from 1 species